UACCCUGACCGGCGAACGGGUGCGUAACACGUGAGCGACCUUCCGUCUUCUGGGGGAUAGCCGGCCCAACGGCCGGGUAAUACCGCAUACGCUCCCUUGGCCGCAUGGCGGGGGAGGAAACUUCUGGGGGAGGACGAGGGGCUCGCGGCCUAUCAGCUAGUUGGGGGGGUAACGGCCUCCCAAGGCGACGACGGGUAGCUGGUCUGAGAGGAUGGCCAGCCACAUUGGGACUGAGAGACGGCCCAG
rnacentral:rRNA from 1 species